GACGUAGGGCGCGAGCGUUGUCCGGAUUUAUUGGGCGUAAAGAGCUCGUAGGCGGCUUGUCGCGUCGUCCGUGAAAACUUGGGGCUCAACCCCAAGCUUGCGGUCGAUACGGGGCAGGCUAGAGUUCGGUAGGGGAGACUGGAAUUCCUGGUGUAGCGGUGAAAUGCGCAGAUAUCAGGAGGAACACCGGUGGCGAAGGCGGGUCUCUGGGCCGAUACUGACGCUGAGGAGCGAAAGCGUGGGGAGCGAACAGG
rnacentral:rRNA from 1 species